rnacentral:rRNA from 1 species
UACGAAUGGGGCAAGCGUUGUUCGGAAUCACUGGGCUUAAAGCGUGCGCAGGCGGCCAUGCAAGUCAGGAGUGAAAUCCCGGGGCUUAACCCCGGAAUUGCUUCUGAAACUGCACGGCUAGGAUAUGGGAGAGGUUAGCAGAAUUCCGAGUGUAGAGGUGAAAUUCGCAGAUAUUCGGAGGAAUACCAGUGGCGAAGGCGGCUAACUGGACCAUUAUCGACGCUCAGGCACGAAAGCGUGGGGAGCAAACAGG